rnacentral:rRNA from 1 species
AACGAACGCUGGCGGCGUGCCUAAGCCAUGCAAGUCGAACGGGUUGUCGCAAGACAAUCAGUGGUGAACUGGUGAGUAAUACGUGGGUAAUCUGCCCGAGAGUGGGGAAUAGCCCUUCCAACGAGGGGGUAACACCGCAUAUUAUCGCGAAUCCGCAUGGAUUUGCGAUGAAAACAGGGGAUCGCAAGACCUUGUGCUCUCGGAUGAACCCGCGCCCCAUUAGCUAGUUGGUGAGGUAACGGCUCACCAAGGCGACGAUGGGUAGCCGGCCUGAGAGGGUGACCGGCCACACUGGGACUGAGAUACGGCCCAGACUCCUACGGGAGGCAGCAGGCGGGAAUAUUGGGCAAUGGACGAAAGUCUGACCCAGCGACGCCGCGUGAGGGAUGAAGCUUCUCGGAGCGUAAACCUCAAACGGAUAGGGACGAAAAGCCUAUCGGCUAAUAUCCGGUAGGCCUGACGGUACCUGUUACGAAGCUCCGGCUAACUCCGUGCCAGCAGCCGAC